GUUGAAACACUGGUUCUCGUUCGAUGACCGAAGUUAAGCAACAUCGAACCUGGUCUGUACCUAGAUGGAUGACCGAUCGGGAAUACCAGGUGCUGUAAG